UCAUCUUCCCCAACCCUAAAUUUAGCCUCGCUGCAACUCUGAUCUGGGAGCCGCCACAGAGGAGAAAAACGGGUUUCAAUUCCGAUCUGGGAACCUCCAUUAAUUCCUGUGGAGUACCUUGCAGAUCUGGGUUUGUGGAGGUGCUGGGGAGUUGCGGUGGCGAGAAAGAGGAGGAGGAGAGGGAUAAGGUUGGGAGAUGGGGACUUGUGAAGGGAAGAGCAAGGUGAGGAUGAUUGGUGAAGAGAAAGGUUCUGGAGACUUCUCAUGUUGAUGAAG
rnacentral:lncRNA from 1 species